CGCGUAGGCGGCGACCCAAGUCAGAUGUGAAAGUCCUGGGCUUAACCUGGGGACUGCAUUUGAUGCUGGGUUGCUUGAAUUCGGGAGAGGAUAGCGGAAUUCCCAGUGUAGAGGUGAAAUUCGUAGAUAUUGGGAAGAACACCGGUGGCGAAGGCGGCUAUCUGGACCGACAUUGACGCUGAGGCGCGAAAGCGUGGGAGCAAACA
rnacentral:rRNA from 1 species